GGGCUGGCUUUAGCCCAGUGGUUCCUUUGACUUUGGCUUCCCAACCUCCUGGACCGCUGGCUUCCCUCGGUCUGGCUUCCCUCGGUCUGGUGGUUUGAGACCCACAGGCACUCUCCAGUCUUUGA
ensembl:misc_RNA Vault Vault RNA